GAUGAACGCUAGCGGCAGGCUUAAUACAUGCAAGUCGUGGGGCAGCAUGAGUAGCAAUACUUGAUGGCGACCGGCAAACGGGUGAGGAACACGUACACAACCUUCCUUCAAGCGGGGAAUAGCCCAGAGAAAUUUGGAUUAAAUACCCCCAUAAAUAUAUUUGAUAAGGCAUCUUAUUAAUAUUAAAGCUUCGGCACUUGAUGAUGGGUGUGCGGCUGAUUAGAUAGUUGGCGGGGUAACGGCCCACCAAGUCUACGAUCAGUAGCUGAUGUGAGAGCAUGAUCAGCCACACGGGCAACUGAGACACGGGGCCCCGACUCCUACGGGAGCAGCAGUAA
rnacentral:rRNA from 1 species